rnacentral:snRNA from 11 species
AUUUCCCCAAAUGCGGGAAACUCAGCUGCAUAAUUUGUGGUAGUGGAGGACUGCAUGCGCGCUCUCCCCUG